rnacentral:misc_RNA from 1 species
GAUGAAGAACGUAGCGAAAUGCGAUAAGUAAUGUGAAUUGCAGAAUUCAGUGAAUCAUCGAAUCUUUGAACGCACAUUGCGCCCACUAGUAUUCUGGUGGGCAUGCCUGUUCGAGCGUCAUUUCAACCCUCAAGCCUGGCUUGGUGUUGGGGCUCUGCGUCUGCAGUCCCUUAAAUCCAGUGGCGGACACGCUAGGUCUCCGAGCGCAGUAGUUUCUCCUCGCUCAGGGCGUCCGGCGUGGGCUUGCCUCGCACCCAUCUUUUACAAGGUUGACCUCGGAUCAGGUAGGGAUACCCGCUGAACUUAAGCAUAUCAAUAAGCGGAGGA